rnacentral:rRNA from 1 species
GACGAACGCUGGCGGCGUGCUUAACACAUGCAAGUCGAACGGAAAGGCCCUGCUUUUGGGGGGUGCUCGAGUGGCGAACGGGUGAGGAACACGUGAGUAACCUGCCCUUGACUUUGGGAUAACUUCAGGAAACUGGGGCUAAUACCGGAUAGGAGCUCCUGCUGCAUGGUGGGGGCUGGAAAGUUUCGGCGGUUGGGGAUGGACUCGCGGCUUAUCAGGUUGUUGGUGGGGUAGUGGCUUACCAAGGCUUUGACGGGUAGCCGGCCUGGGAGGGUGACCGGCCACAUUGGGCCUGAGCUACGGCCCAGACUCCUCCGGGAGGCAGCAGUGGGGAAUAUUGCACUAUGGGCUGAAGCCUGAUGCAGCAACGCCGCGUGCGGGAUGACGGCCUGCGGGUUGUAAUCCACUUUCGCCUGUGACGAAGCGUGAGUGACGGUAAUGGGUGAAGAAGCACCGGCUAACUACGUG